rnacentral:rRNA from 1 species
AUGUGUGGAAGGAGCUCCUCAUUUUUCGUGAUCAUUAAUAUUUAUUUUUGCAUCAUUCUAGUAACGGCUCAAAAUAUGACUGGAACUUUGAAAUGGAGAUGGGAUUUAUUUCAUCCUAGUAAACGCUUCAGACUGUCAAACCAUUUAUUUAUCAGCUUAAUUUUCUUGUUUCAAGCCAGCAGCACCUCGUGGAUGAGCCUAUCAACAUUGCGCAUGGACCUUCCGUCACACCGUGCGGAGGCCAGGGCGCUCUGCCGGAGCUCUUGCACACGCCGCCGCAUCUCUCGCCCCUUCGCCCCCUCCAUGGCCUCCCGUAUCAUCGCCUCCACCUCGGUCCUCCUCACGUCGUCCCCAAUCUCCACCCCGAUGCCCCACUCUGUGCACUUGUAG